rnacentral:rRNA from 1 species
UACGUAGGAUGCAAGCGUUGUCCGGAAUUAUUGGGCGUAAAGAGUUCGUAGGCGGUUUAUUAAGUCAGAGGUUAAAGACCAAGGCUCAACCUUGGGAGUGCCUUUGAUACUGGUAGGCUUGAGGAUGGCAGAGGAAAGUGGAAUUCCAAGUGUAGCGGUGAAAUGCGUAGAUAUUUGGAGGAACACCGGUGGCGAAAGCGACUUUCUGGGCCAUAACUGGCGCUGAGGAACGAAAGCGUGGGGAGCAAACAGG